UUUAAAUAUGGUUGAUAUUACGAAGACAUGGCAAGGUGGACACUCAACAAUAAUAUGCUCAAAUAUAGCGUUACAAGGCACCUACUUACUGCAGACAUUCACCAGCUCUUUAAAGGUGAAAUACGAUUAUUGUAAUAUGGAUUUGGAGCUAGGGGUCUAAAUGGAAGCAAUCUCUUUAUCCCCUGUGACAGAGGUGGAUGUUAAAUCGGAAUCUGAGGCCAAAAAGUUUUUGGAUUGUUUCCAAACAGAACGAAAAUUAGAUGCAAUUCUUUCUUUUUGUUCAUUUAUGGUUGUGAAGGGUGGAGAGACCACAUGCCAGAUUCUCGGGAGGUUCAAUCGUGCUCGUGCAGCCCGGCUAACUCUCCCUCACUUUGUUUGUGAGACACCACUAUUUAUGCCCGUUGGAACACAAGGGACAAUAAAAGGUUUGACCACCAACCAACUUGAGGAUAUUGGAUGCCAAAUUAUACUCGGAAAUACAUAUCAUUUAGCACUCCGUCCGACUUCUGAGCUUAUAGAUGAAUUAGGUGGUCUUCACAAAUUUAUUGACCUUUAGAAUUUCUUCUGUAGGUGCUGGGUAAAGUGUGGUCAAUAGCCUUCAAGUAUAAUUUCCUCAUGCCACCAUAUUAUUCUUUUCUGAUACGAUCUCUAGCUUCCUUUGAAGAUUCCUCUUAGAUUGUGCCAAAAGAUAAGAACUACAAUGGAAGAAGAUUGUUUUUUUCUUGAAGGUCGGGGAAACAAGUUAUGUGACAAUGUCAUUUGGUUCAGGGUUUUACUGAGCUUCGCUGAUGUAAUUUAUCUACUUGGAUUAUUGUUUGUAUGCUGAGAUGUAUCAUGUACUUUACUAUUUCGUGUUGCAUGAAAGUUGAUAGGAA